ensembl:lncRNA
UUUUUCAAAUAAAAAAUAGUUAUUUCAAAUUGUAAUAUGCAGGGCAUCUCUGUUUAGGUUAUGAGGGCACUUUUUUGAACAUAAAGGAGUGGUUAUGGUAUCGAAAUUAAUGGGAAGUGUGACAAUGCAGUCAGAAAUAGAAAGUGUUCAGUUGUAUCAGGACAAUUAUAACAGUUGCAUCGGUGGGUGGAGAUUAAAGACAGUAUAUUAAGCUUGCAUUACUUAUGUUAGGUUACUUCUCAGUAGUCACUUUUCUGGCAUUAGGUUUGGUAGCAAAAAAACUUUAAAAGAUGUUUCAGUUUAUUAUAUUUAUUGGAUUGGCUUUACUGAUUGGUAGAUCAAUACCAACAGCUGCAGAAACAUCUAUCGCUCCAUCAACAAGAACAACAGCCCCUGAACUAACAUGUAUAAUAGCUACAGCAGCAUCUAUAGUUCGAUUAACAAAAAAUCCUGCACCAACAUGUAUAUCAGCUACAGCAACAUCUACAGCUCGAUCAUCAACCACAACCCCUGCCCCACAGUCUACAUCUCGCUCAGCAGUCACUGAACCAACAUCUACAACUCAAUCAAGACCACCUGCACCAACUUUAAGUUCAACUGUGCUAACAUCAACCACUCUGUCAUCAACUGCAUCAACAUCGAUAUCAGCUGCAGUAACAUCUACUUCUCAAAAGACAGCUCAACUUACAUAUACAACUCAACCAGCUUCUGUCCCACAAAGUAAAAAAGCAAUUUUAUUUUGCCUGUUCAUGCAUUUUUAUUAAUCACCAUUCAGAUUUUGUUAUUAAAUUAGAGUUUUAUUCACCUAUGCUAAUAUGAAUCUAAUAUGAGCUUUCAUUUUACAGAUAUGACAGCAUUAGCUUCUGCAACUUUCAAAUUGAGAUGCUUUGCUGAGCUGAGCAAUGAUGAAAUCAUUACAUAUAUUGAAAAGGUGAGCUAUUAUUUUGUUAUUAACAUUUUUUGUCUAAUUGUUAGCAUUAACUUGUUGCCGAACUGUUGAAGAAUGAACAACAAAACAUAUCAAGCAAGCAAUUACAAUGGAAAUGUAAUGUACCCAUGGCAGGAAAACAACAACUCUUUGUUUAGAAUGUGACAUUUGAGAAGAAGUUGGCUGACAGCAGAAUAAUUCGACAUAGAAGCUGUUGUUUUAUUUUGUAGGUAAAUUACCAGAUGUUACUGUACUUUUUUUUUCAUCGCAGUUUGUCAAGCACUUUCAAUCAAGCAUAAGUGGGACCAUCAAGAUUACUGUGAGGAAAUCAAGAAAACUGUUGGCGUAAGGAUCUGAUGGAAAACUUGUGACUGACCACAUGCCAUCCUCUCCGCUACAAACUGCUGUCUAUGACUCCAUUUAAUUAUUGUCUUUGUAUCUAUUUUUUGUUUCCUCUGUAUACUUGCAUUUUUACUGUUGUAAUUAAACAAUACUAUACAUUGAACACAUAUUAUCGUUGCACCUUUCCUAUAUAAAGUAAAAAAAAUACUCUGAAACAUCCUGCUUGCCAAAAUCCAUUCUUGCAAAGGUUCUGCAUGAUCCUCUCAUUCGUAAACAUUCUCAGGGUCUGAAUCAGGUAAAACUGACACCAUUGUAAUUAUUUACAGCUGGGCAGAUGAAACUAGUGGUUAUUCAUAGCAAAUUGUAGUUCAUUACUGAUUAGAAAUUACAUGAUGAAAACUGUAGUUCGUAACGUAACCUAUAGGUAACCUAUAGGUAAUGAAUUCUGACUACUUUUUAGAUUACUUUUUAAAUGUACCAUAUUGAUAUAAAAAAGAAAAAAGAAAAAAAAUGUAUUCCGUUUUUUGACAUCAACAUUAUAAAAUGCAUCAUGUAAUCCUGUAAUCCAUAAAAAGGUAACUUUAAACUGAUUAUGAGCAUUUAAAAAUGUAAUAUACUCAUAUUUUUGGAAUCUGAUUACUCAAUCCAGUGUACAUGUAAUCAGUUACUACCCAGCACUGCUAACAAAUCAAAGCACAUUAAUAAACAACAAAUCGAAUGAGCA